AGAGUUUGAUCAUGGCUCAGAACGAACGCUGGCGGCGUGGAUUAGGCAUGCAAGUCGAGCGAGAAAGCGGUCUUGAAUCGUGAGUAAAGCGGCGAAAGGGUGAGUAAUACAUAGAUAACCUACCCCCAAGUUGGGAAUAAUCACUGGAAACGGUGACUAAUGCCCGAUGUGGACACCUGGUCGUUGGACCGAGUGUUUAAAGAGGGCCUCUACUUGUAAGCUAUCGCUUGGGGAGGGGUCUAUGUCCUAUUAGCUUGUUGGUGGGGUAAGAGCCCACCAAGGCUGUUAUGGGUAGCCGACCUGAGAGGGUGACCGGCCACACUGGGACUGAGACACUGCCCAGACUCCUACGGGAGGCUGCAGUCGAGAAUCAUUCGCAAUGGGCGAGAGCCUGACGAUGCGACGCCGCGUGCGGGAAGAAGGCCCUCGGGUUGUAAACCGCUGUCACCCGUUAAGAAAGGCGCGGUGGGGAAUAUCCACUGUGUUUGACGAAGGCGGGGGAGGAAGCCACGGCUAACUUCGUGCCAGCAGCCGCGGUAAUACGAAGGUGGCGAGCGUUGUUCGGAAUCACUGGGCAUAAAGGGCCCGUAGGCGGCGACCUAAGUCGGCUGUGAAAGACCUCGGCUCAACCGGGGGAACGCAGCCGAAACUGGGUGGCUUGAGCACGGUAGGGGAAAGCGGAAUUCCAGGUGGAGCGGUGAAAUGCGUAGAUAUCUGGAGGAGCACCAGAGGCGAAGGCGGCUUUCUGGACCGUUGCUGACGCUCAGGGGCGAAAGCUAGGGUAGCAAACAGGAUUAGAUACCCUGGUAGUCCUAGCCGUAAACGAUGUGCACUAGGUAGGGGACGUACUCUGCGUUCUCUGCCGUAGCUAAUGUAUUAAGUGCACCGCCUGGGGAGUACAGUCGCAAGGCCGAAACUCAAAGGAAUUGACGGGGGCUCACACAAGCGGUGGAGCAUGUUGUUUAAUUCGAAGCAACGCGCAGAACCUUACCCGGGCUUGACAUGCUGGUGGUACGCGGAUGAAAGUCCAAGGACCUGGAAACAGGAGCCAGCACAGGUGUUGCAUGGCUGUCGUCAGCUCGUGUCGCGAGAUGUUAGGUUAAGUCCUGUAACGAGCGAAACCCCUAUCGUCUAGUUGCCAGCGGGUAAUGCCGGGCACUCUAGCGAGACUGCCGACGCAAACCGGAGGAAGGAGGGGAUGACGUCAAGUCCUCAUGGCCCUUACGCCCGGGGCUACAAACGUGCUACAAUGGCCGGUACAAAGGGCAGCGAGCUCGUGAGAGUAAGCGAAUCCCAAAAAGCCGGUCCCAGUUCGAAUUGCAGGCUGCAACUCGCCUGCAUGAAGUUGGAAUCGCUAGUAAUCGCGGAUCAGCUACGCCGCGGUGAAUAUGUUCCUGAGCCUUGUACACACCGCCCGUCAAGCCACGAGAGCGGGUAGUACCCGAAGUCGCUGACCCAACCUUUUCGGAGGAGGGAAGUGCCGACGGUAAGACUCGUGAUUGGGACUAAGUCGUAACAAGGUA
rnacentral:rRNA from 1 species